AAGAUGUUGUGGGAUGCGCCGCGUGACACUUUACUGUACCACGCGAAGUGGUCCUGAAGUGGACAGCGAUGAUCCAAAAUAAAUGUGACUCGGUCAUCACGCAUGAACGUGUGCGAGUCCUCAUAAAUGGUUCGUUAGAAACAGGAUAACAUAGCCUAGUAAGUGUUCAAGUUUAUUAUAGGAUAAUGGAAGGUGAACUUUACUACUGUUGAAGCCAGAUAAAUGCUAUCAAAGGUGGUGGAGGGAGGAGCUGUGGCGUGCAUGAGCUCAUCUGUGCCAGAAGAGGUAAGAUCAGGGGGGCGUCCUGUCUGUCUACAUAUCUGUCUCUUUCUUUCUAUCGCUCUGCCUGUACUCCAUUGUACUCUAUGUAUCUGUGUCUGUCUACUUGACUGUACUUGUAUCCCCCUUAAAAAUAGAGAGAUGGCUCCAUCAAAGCAGUAGCUAUCUAACAUGCUCAUUUGGAUCUUUGGAGUACACAUACAGUGCAUUCAGAAAGUAUUCAGACCCCUUUUACUUUUUCCACAUUUUGUUACGUUACAGCCUUAUUCUAAAAUGUUUUAAAUAGUUUUUUCCCCUCAUCAAUCCACACACAAUACCCCACAAUGUCAAAGUAAAAACAGUUUUUUAUUAACGUUUGCAAAUGUAUAUCCCAUAUACAUAAGUAUUCAGACCAUUUACUCAGUACUUUGUUGAUGCACCUUUGGCAGCGAUUACAGCCUCAAGUCUUCUUGGGUAUGACUCUACAAGCUUGGCACACCUGUAUUUGGGGAGUUUCUGCCAUUCUUCUCUGCAGAUCUUCUCAAGCUCUGUCAGGUUGGAUGGGGAGCGUCGUUGCCCCAUG
rnacentral:lncRNA from 1 species